GGGACUAAGAGCUGUUGUACAUGAAGAUGAGUCUGAAGAAAAGGAUGUCAAGAUGCUAAAAAGCAUCCAUGGUUUGAAUUCCUCCUUGUCCAUGGAAACUUACUCAAUCACCUUGUCCAGGCACGGCUAAACCCUCUGAACAAAAUCUGCCAAGAAUACACUGUGAUAGGUUCAUCUGAUGUCCAUUGCUGUUUCCAACUCCAAAUUCCAGCAGACCCAACUUACCGUUCCAUAAUGAGGUGCACCUGCUUGUCAAUUAAGUUACAUCCUUGUAGAGGCAUUUGCUACAGCUCAGUGCACUGAAGCUAUUAACCCUCACCUUGACAUCCAUCAGCAACUCAAGUUCUCAACAGCCUGCCAAAAUAUGAAAGUCUUCACCUGCCAUGGAAGGGGCCAGUCUAGCCUUUCUAGGAAAGGAAUGCCGGCAUCUGACAGCAGAUUUCAAAAAGGUUCUGUCAUACAUUCUCACCACACGUGUUUGGGAGAGUGCUGGGACA